rnacentral:lncRNA from 1 species
GGAUAGCAAAGGGAGGAACUUUUGGACGCUGACACUGAUCAAUGGACUUUAAGUAUUCAACUGUUGGAGAAGAUGUCGGUCAUCCUUUGAAGUGUAGCCGAGUAUAGAAAACUACGGCAUUUUGAUGUACCGACUAAAGAUGUCCAUUUGCUCUAUGUAAAUAAACGUAUUCGGUUUUAACUUAUAUAAGAUGUUUAGUAGGUG